UCAACUUCUUCAGCCAGAGUUGGCACCCCCAGGAGAAAAUACACACAACUAGGUCAGGCAGAAUGUCCGCUUCUAUAUCAUCAGGAUUCAGCCAAUAAUUCUGGAGCCCCUACUGGCUGACUAAUACUAGGCCCUUUGGGAAUUGCAAAGAUGAAUAAGGUAACUCCUCUGUCUCAAGAAGCUUUCAAGAGAUUGGGCAAGUGAUGAUCAGCAAGCUAGUCUGAGAGAAGAGAGAGUAUCUAGAACAAGAUAUACCCAUGAGCCAAUAGGAGACUCUACCUGUGCAUUGCCUUUGGAAGGGAACUUCUGGGGUCUCUUUACAGAGGAAGUGUUGGGUCAGAUACUUGUGCAUUAGGAAGAAGAGCAAAAAAAAUGGCACUCACAUCUGGAGAUUUUGUCCAAAUCCAUCCCAAAGCUUCACCACUAAUAAAGGCAAAAUAAAC
rnacentral:lncRNA from 10 species